rnacentral:rRNA from 1 species
UAUCUCUGUAGAGUCUGCAUAUCAAUAAGCGGAGGAAAAGAAACUAACUAGGAUUCCCUCAGUAACGGCGAGUGAAGCGGGAAGAGCUCAAAUUUGAAAUCUUCAAGGUUCUACCUUGACGAAUUGUAGUUUAAAGAAGUGUUUUCUGUUGGAGUUUUGGUAAAAGUUCUUUGGAAUAGGACAUCAUAGAGGGUGAGAAUCCCGUAUUUGACCAUUAUUUCCAGCUUUGUGAUACACUUUCAAAGAGUCGGAUUGUUUGGGAAUGCAGUCCAAAAUGGGUGGUAAAUUUCAUCUAAAGCUAAAUACUGGCGAGAGACCGAUAGCGAACAAGUACCGUGAGGGAAAGAUGAAAAGAACUUUGAAAAGAGAGUUAAACAGUACGUGAAAUUGUCAAAAGGGAAGCGUUUGACACCAGUGUUGUUUUCUCGAAAAUCAAUUAAAAAAGGUAGGAUUUUGUGUUGUAUUGACUUUAUCAGCUUUCUGCACUCUUUUCUUGUCUUUUUUAAUGCACUUUUCGUUUAACAAGUCAACAUCAAUUUCUUUUGUUAUAAAAGGGUCAUUGGAAGGUGGCUUUCUUUUCGGAGAAAGUGUUUAUAGCCUUUGGCCUCUGCAAUCGGAGAGAUUGAGGUCUGCAGCGUAGAUCCUUCGGGGUUAGAUACAUUUGUGCUAAGUUAUAGCCUUUCAUAGACAACUUGUUGACUAUGAUCAGUCAUGUAGCUUACUCGCUUAUGCUAUUUUACCUACGCUUAGGAUGUUGACGAUCAGCUGAGCGCG